UCUAAUUGGUUGUUGAAAGUGUUGAUUCGAUUUAGCCUUGUCAACGACACGAAUAGUAUUCAGAGUACUGGGCAACAGGCUCUCACGACGACCACGAUGAACAAAUGACUGAGAAAGGUAGAUUCGAAACUUUAUUGAACUUGAACUUUGAAAAUAUACAAUUACGUGUGUUCAAUUACAACGGUAAUAUUUUUUUCCUAAAGAUUUAAUACUGUGUUACAUUUUUUUUUGUUUGUUGCAUUGAAUUGCAGCAAUUUGUAAUUACGUUUUCAUUUCACGUAGGUUGAUGAUGAGACUCAUGUAGUUACACAGCCGUUGGCAGCUUCAAAUUCCAUUGCUCCAUCAAUAUCAAAUGUUGUAGUGAACUACCCAGGUAAUUAUAUGGUUUCCUAUGUUUAAAUUGCAUAUGUUAUUUUUCCCCAUAUCAUUGACUUUGUACUUUUUUACAAUAGGUACUGCAGUAUGAUUCCAACCACCGAUGCCACCCCCAUCAACGUGUCAUAACAUGUUGGAUGUAUAGCACCGCUCAGUCCACGAUUGCUAGAGAAAUGCACACAAAAGAUAUCAGAUUUGGACCAGCAGCAAUACACAGGUAGAAACAAUGAAUGAAGGAAAUGAACUUUUUUUACAGCUAUUAUUAAUACUUUUGGUGGACUAAACAUUAGAAAAAGGGUGUUAACGUUCUUGUGGUUUUUGUUAUGCUUGUAACGACUUGUUUGGUUGUAAUGAAUGAUUGAUGAGGCUGCUGU
rnacentral:lncRNA from 1 species